ACAGCAGUCGCCGCGGUAAUACGUAGGUGGCGAGCGUUGUCCGGAUUUAUUGGGCGUAAAGGGAGUGUAGGCGGUCUUUUAAGUCUGAUGUGAAAGCCCACGGCUCAACCGUGGAGGGUCAUUGGAAACUGGGAGACUUGAGUGCAGAAGAGGAGAGCGGAAUUCCAUGUGUAGCGGUGAAAUGCGUAGAUAUAUGGAGGAACACCAGUGGCGAAGGCGGCUCUCUGGUCUGUAACUGACGCUGAGGCUCGAAAGCGUGGGAGCAAACAGGAUUAGAUACCCCUGUAGUCCCUGUCUCUUAUACA
rnacentral:rRNA from 1 species